UCUGAAAAAGAAGAAAGAACAGAAGUUACCAGGAAUGCUCCAGAAUUAGGAUGCUUUCAACAUCCACAAGCCAAUCUAUCAUGGCAUCUGAGGUUGUACGUUAGACAAACUAGUCUUAGGAGGUUAACUAAUUCUUUAGCCUGAAGCUUUCAGCAAGUCAGAUACUACAUGCCAAGUAAUGUGCCAUAGCAGCAUUACCUGGACCUUAGAAAAUUAUGGAACAAUAAUUACAGCAACUUUGCUCUAGGACCUUUGAAAGUAGUUCCCUCUUUUUCAAAGAAGUACAGCCCAAAAUGGUUUUCCCUCCUCCUCACUCAGAUAUAGCAGGUAUAGUAAUGGUUAGGCUCUGGAGUCAGACUGCAUGGGCUUAAUUGCUAGUUUAUGCUCUGUGAUCUAGGGCUUUUAUCGUUCUGAGCCCCAGUUUCUUAAUUUGUAAAGUGGGAUAAUAUCUGUAUUAUGGAAUUGUUGUAAGGUUAAAAAACAUAUGCAAAGUUCUUAGGGUAGUGGUUGGCACAUAGAAAAUGCUCAAUAAAAAUAAGUUUUGUUACAAUUGAAAGAUUAGUCAAAGGAAAACAGACCUUUCACUUAAAAUCAAGAGACUUCCCCUUUUCUCAAAUUCCCAAGAAGAAAAAUAUAGCAGCGUAAGAUUUUAUUUAGUUUUUUGAGAUAGGAUCUUGCUCUGUCUCCCAGACUGGAGCGCAGUGGUGCAGUCAUGGCCCGCAGCAGCCUGAAAUUGCUGGGCUGAGACAAUCCUCCAGCCUCAGGCUCCCAAGUGGGUGCGGCUACAGGUGUGACCACACAUCCAGCUAAUUUUUGUGAUUUUUGUAGAGACAGGUUUUCACCAGGUUGCCCAGACUCAUCUCCAACUCCUGAGCUCCUGCCUUGGCCUCCCAAAGUGCUGGCAUUACAGGUGAGCCAUUGUGCCUGGCCAGCACAGGAUUUAAAAUUUAAAAUUUGUUUUCUUGGCAAAUGUCAAUAUAUACUUACCUCCCGUGUAAUAGCCAUAAGCAUAAAGAACUCGUCCAACAAUCCAGGCCAAGCCCAAGCCAGACGCUAUACGCUAAGAAAAAAGGGCUACAUUAGUAUUUGCAUGAAAGAAACAAGCAUAACUUUAUUAACAACUAGGGUUGAUUAUACACUAUGUUAGCAAAAAGUCAAUAAUUUCAUGGAUUUGGCCAACUACUCCCCAUCCAAAUUAGGUAGAAUUAAGUUACUUGUUUCAGUCAGGAAAAUAAAAAAUCUGUGAUUCUUCUAUGAACAGCUUGGCUUGUGAACCUGGGAGAUGAGUACUGGCCUUCUCCUAGACAGGUGUGAUGGAAGGAAUCCCUCUGCUUGCCCUGGGCAUCUUGGGGAACUUGUGCUAGAGCAAGAGAAGGACAUGUGGGCCGGGGGGGUCAAGGUAAGCCAGAAGAGAGAACUGCCCCAAACUCAGGACUAGGGGAAAUGCCCUGUUUUCUCAAAUGGGCCUCUGAGCAUGAGAUUGACUGAAAACUCAGUUGCUGUUCUGUGUGAAGUCAGUCACUGGCAGGGCUGGGAGCAGGCGUGUCUGCAGCCUACACUAGGGGUACAUGGUCUUUGAGGGAAAAUUCUCCCUGUGCCCGCCCAAUGCCCUUGGAAAGAGAGAGUAAAAACUUAGAUUAAAAAAUCCGUCCCUUUGGCCAGCAUGCUGGGGUGAACAAAGAGAGUGUGUGAGAAGGCUGCCUUCCCCAGUGUUUUCCAGUGCUACAGGUAGGGACAAAGUUACUUCAUCAGGGUUUUUAUUUGAGUUGAUUUUGGGUAACACUAAAUAUCAACAGGAGGUUUGAAAAUAGGUGCCAGUCCUUGAGUCACGAUUUAGCAGCUCCAGUCUCUGCCAGGUCCUUUGCUAUCAUGUUGCCUCACGACUGGUAACCUAGGAACAAUUGUUAAGUGCUUGCCCCCAGACUGGCUCUUAUUUUUCAGAACUACCCAUAAGGAAUGGGAUCCAGGGAUGUGGGACAGGAAUGGGGAUGGAGUGGGGACACAAGUGAGACCUGGGCUAUUCAGAUCAGCUAGUCUGGUCACUUGCUAGGAAUAGGGAUUUUUAUAGGCACCAGAAAGAUACCUUUUCUAAGAGAUACAAGAGCAGUAGAUGUUUCUUUGAAAAAAAAA